ensembl:lncRNA
CUUCAUCUCUAAUUGCUUCAUUUAGCAUCUAGUGCAAUGGUUUAGGAGCACGUGUGCCCUCCACAGCGAUCGGUUGUGCCCUGGAUAACUGUGUGGCUCUUGCCCUGGCUAUGGAAGGUUGGUCUAUUCCGGGGUUGGGCAGUUUUGAAUCUCAGCCCUCUUCUUUGACCCACUGUGCUCUUCUCACUUGUUGGAAAGCAUAUUUUUAAUAUCUCUGCCUUCCUGGGUGUCAAGAGGGGCCAGUCCAUGCCUUCCUCAGAGACAAGCUAUUACAUCUCCCAGCAAACCUUUAUGGCAGAGGCCACACAUUCUCACCUGAGCCAGGUACUCUUGGUAGUGGUUGCAGAGGGAAAAGGACAUGGUGGAGCUCCGAGAGCCUCUGCUUGGAAGUGAUGUCUAUCGUGUCUGCCUACAUUUCAUUGGCCAAAGCAAGUCACAUGGUCGCUCAGGAGUUGAACAGAGCUGGGUCAAACGUGGAUUCUGCCUUCUCUUCUGAGGCCCACCCCUCCUUCACAGAGUUUGCCUGAACCUCGGCCACAUUUCAGUCCGGUAUGAUUAUCAGAACCGCUGAGUCUCAAGUUUGCAGCUUGCUCCGUUCAUUUCUGUCAUCCCAUUGGUGAGAAGAAGUGUCUGCAGUCAUCCUUCAUAUUGGGAGGGAUGAGCUGAAGGAGGCAGGGAGAUGUCUCCUAAGGAGGAGUCUUUCCCAGCUAUCAUGGCUUCCAAACCUGCUUAUCUGGUUCCUCUGGCAACACGUUCUACAGAAGCUGUAAUGUAUAAAUAUGGGGACUCCCCCUUUCUCUCUCACAAAUAAAACAAUUUCUGGAAGGAAAACA